rnacentral:rRNA from 1 species
UACGUAGGGUGCGAGCGUUAAUCGGAAUUACUGGGCGUAAAGCGUGCGCAGGCUGUUUUGUAAGUCAGAUGUGAAAUCCCCGAGCUCAACUUGGGAACUGCGUUUAAAACUACAAGACUAGAAUAUGUCAGAGGGGGGUAGAAUUCCACGUGUAGCAGUGAAAUGCGUAGAGAUGUGGAGGAAUACCAAUGGCGAAGGCAGCCCCCCUGGGAUAAUA